ncrna:unclassified sequences TwoGGAY RNA
UUGCGAAGGCGGAUGAGAUUUUCUUGAUAUUCCGUCAUCAAUACAGAAAUUGCGGGACAAGGAUGUCCCGCAAAGCCCGUGGCUGAGCCAGGAUGGCUCAUUGAGGGCGGUUUCGUCCGUCGCCGCAACCUUGCCGGAAUAUUUAGAAAAUCCAUCAGCCGCAGUCA